rnacentral:misc_RNA from 1 species
GUUGAAUCUCGCACUGGUGUUACAGAUAAUCCAGAGGUCAGUUCACUAUAUCAAUGUAUAAUCAUGAAUUUGCUCUUAAAAGAAAUCUUUGAUUUCUUUCUGGAAAGUAAUGUUACAGAUCAUGAGAAAAAACCCAGAUGAACAGACUCGUCUAGGGGUUUCUCAAGUUGUACAACAACAGCCUCCUCUGCCACAAUCCAGCCACCAGUAUUGGAUUUUUCUUGAUAAGAUGGGUUGGAACAACUCUUGGAGCAAGUAAAAACUAUGAGUGUCAUCCAGUUCCAAUUCUCUAGUGCAGGUUUUUGGCAAUCAUCAGCAGCAUCGUGUAGAAAAAAUAUUAAUGGGGGCAUCAGCUGCAUCUCGUAAUGCCUUGAACCACCACAAAGCUCACAUGACCCAGGGUCUCCCAAAUCCGGUGUUGCUAGAAGAGGCUUCCCACCAUACAAAUACCUGAAGCAUUGCUCCGGGUUAGCAUCCAACUUCUUCUUGAACUUGAGGUAUGUCCUGUCGGCAGUUAAAGCUUUAUCAUAUUCAUAACCUUCAUCUCCCCAAGCUUCUUCUUGUUCUUGAUGAUCAUUAUCUCUUUGUUUCUCCUUAAUGGAAAGAGUGGAAUAGUUCAAGCACAUUGAAGAAACAUCCCUUGAGGAUGGUUCUUCCUGAGUAUAAACGUAGAAACAAGGAACCACCGGUAGCUCCAGGUCAACCGUUCUUAUCCUUGGAAUUAAAGGGGAAGAAUUGACAACAGUCUCAGAUUGCUCAUUCUUAUGCAUUUUCUUGGAAUGAGAAGCCAAACUUCCAGCUUCAGAAAGUGCUUUACCCAAAGCCUCAAGAUCCAUGUCCUCAUCACUUUCAUAAUCCAAAUCCUCCAGCCACUCGGUUUUUGAAACUGAAGCAGGAGAAGUCGUCACAGGAACCACAUCUUCAGAACUUGUAGAUGGGUCUCUUCCAUCAUCCAGUUUCUGAAGGCGAAGAGCACGCCAGCUAAGAGGAGUGCUCCCACAUUCUGCCAUCACACAACCAAAAACCAUGACAAGACGAUCUUCAAUCUUCAACCUUCCACUAGAGAUUGGAGCAUAAACCUUUGAAAAAAAAAAUUAAUACCCAAAUCAUAUAUUCAAAAAAAGAACAAAUAAACAAGAAUAAGAAUCAGUAAAAACCUGUGCAACAAGACACAGCUUUCUUCCACAGGUACCACAGUUAAGCAGAUUGGGAGGUACUGCCUCUAGAGGAAAAGGCCAGUCAGGAAGUCCACCAAUUUUUGUUGUAUAAUGAUCAGAUGGCUCACGAUUAUCAUCGGCCCAUGGUCCAGGCAUACCAAGUAGACCUCGACCCGUCAUCGUCUACUCCACCGUUACAACAGAAACACCAAGUUCCGAGGACGGCGAAGACAAAAUACCUGAACCACUCAGGAGGAGUGGAAGCAGGACACUGUGUGUGCGCAUGCUUGUGCGCACCGUUUCAU